GCCUGCCUGUAGCACUACUCAUCCUUUAUUGUCACUCUUAUUUAAAACAAUUCUGCUAGGGGCAACCGGGACUCGCAGUCGCCGGGCAGUCGGUUAUGCCACGUCAUUAAUAUUUUUUUUUUCCUUUAAACAAAGCAAAACCAAAACAGGCGAAAGGGAAAAAGAUUUCAGAAGAGCUCUACAUUGUGGUCUUCAGGUUUGGACGAAAGAAAGAUCUGUGUCAUCGUCAUCAUCGUCUUUGGGUUUGGAAGAAAGAAAAGCUCUAUGUCUUCGUAUUCGGCUCUGGAAGAACUACAGUACCUCAUAGGGCUCUCUGAUUCUUAUGGGUGGGUCUCUCGUUUGGAUCUUCGCGUGGGUCUCUAGUCCAUCUCUGUUUGAGGGUAGAUCUUGGGUGCAAACUGGUAGAUCUUCGAUGUUGGGUCUUCAUGUGGGCAUCUCUGUGGGUAGCUUCAGAUGAAAUAUGUGUGCUUGGGGAUUAUGAACAGUAAUUAUUGGGAAAGUUUGCACUUAUAAUGUUGUGCCUAGCUUACAGCACAAUGUCGCAUCGUUAUCUCUUUCUAUCGAGUUGAUAUAUGAGUUGAUGAUGAUACCACUGCGCUUAAUCUAUUAAAGAAAUGAGAGUUGGAUCUUGAACUUUUGGUAUAUGUUGUAAGAUGUGUAACAUAUAAAUCUUUACACCAAGUACCCAGUGAAUUUUACCUUAGUAAAACAAUUUUGGUGUUGCAAAAACUAUGUUUGUCAAUUACUAGUCAUCAAAGCCGACCACUUCAUUUGGUGAUAUAUACUUGAUGAGAGAUGGUACUUCAGAGGAACGCUCCUUUGCUUGAAUGUAAUUCCUUGGGAUUGAAUGUAUUUUAGAGAAUUUUUAUGUAUUGAAUGUUAUCGUUGUGUAUUGAAUGUAUUUGAGGGAAUUUUUAUGAAUCUGUAUAAAAUUUUAUAAGUACAUUACUGAUAAUAUUUUUCUUCAGAUCAAUGGUUGUAAUGUCAUUCCAGAUUUGCAUAUCCAGAUUUUUCUUUA